ACCGCACCUGAUCCUAUGCCCAUUUGGGGUGGCGCUGGACGGGUCCCAUCGAUAUCGUUCGUUCUUCUAAAUAGUGCGCAUUUUAGGGGUUUCUGGACUUUUCUUUUUUUGAUAUAGUUUUGAGCGUGGACAUGGCACAUUUUAAACAGGGCUAAUGAGAGCAGGGAUGUAGUUAUCUUACGAGCUAGGUGUUUAGUUAGCUAACUAGUGGUUUCUAGUUUAGCCACAUGGUGUACAUGUCCAGAACUGUCAUGCGACGUGGUUGUUGGGCAAAUGCGUUGCGAUAUCUUUCGGGCAUGGAUUACACAUUUCUACAAAGGUUUUAUCCGGUUUAUUUUAACGCUGGGCAACCCAGUUUAACUUUGAUUUAACGUCGCAGACUGGGGUUUGUAGAAGUCAAGUGUUGGAAGUAAAACGUUGCUCUUCAUGAGGUGUUUAUGUUUAGCACGGUGGUAGUCAAAGACGUGGAAGUAUGAAUCUCAUCACCCAAGUGACGGGAGAGCCAUGUGUGCCAGUGGAUCCUAUAGCACUCCUUCGACACCAAAAAGAGACCGAAGACCGUUGUCGUCACACACUGUUUCAUAAGACAAAUCCUCUGACCAUGCCGAGUGGAGAGAGUCAUCCUGUCCAAAUGACCCGAGAGACGUCCAUGCCUUUUUCCAGCACCUCGUCACCACACAGGUGGUAGGGAGAAAGGCUGCGUCAGAGGCCCACCUUUUGGCCCUGCUCAGCCCCAGAGACCGCCUUGGGACACCUGCUUGUCUAACUCACUCCGACUGCACCACACCCAGAAUAGACUAGCCAUGUCUGCUGCUGGUGGAGACAAACAGGUCGAUACAUCUAUCAGGCAGUUUCACCAAUCAGACGCGGACAGAGCGCCUCUAUCUCCGGUUGGUCGACGGAGACCGUUUGGCCACAAACGGCUACGACACCAAGUGGGACGCGCCGUUUGACCCGGGGACAGCGAGGGUUACCACAGAAACAGACCAGGAUCUCAUAGCCCACUACACUUCAUAGGAGUUCAGUGGUCGCAGCCCACUACCCUACUGGGGAAGUUUGGUAGUUGUCUGUCCCAGCCCACUACACUUCAUAGGAGUUCAGUGGUCGCAGCCCACUACCCUACUGGGGGAGUUUGGUAGUUGUCUGUCCCAGCCCACUACACUUCAUAGGAGUUCAGUGGUCGCAGCCCACUACCCUACUGGGGAAGUUUGGUAGUUGUCUGUCCCAGCCCACUAUACAUC